AUGCGAAUAUUCUCGCUGUUCUGGAUUUGUUAGUAAUCAGGACAGGCUAGACAUUCGCUAUAUUACCACUAUGCAUUGUGUCCCCAGAGCUAGUUUGUCUCCCUAGUUCUGGUUUUUAACUGCAAGUAACAUUC